rnacentral:rRNA from 1 species
GACGAGCCACCCGAACGUUAUUCGGAAUUACUGGGCUUAAAGGGUGCGUAGGCGGUGCAGCAAGUCGGGAGUGAAAUACCUCAGCUUAACUGAGGAACUGCUUUCGAUACUGCUGUGCUUGAGUGAGACAGAGGUAAGCGGAACUAGGGUGGAGCGGUGAAAGUGCGUUGAUAUCCUAAGGAACACCGGUGGCGAAGGCGGCUUACUGGGUCGUCUACCUGCUACGGCUGAGGCACGAAAGCCAGGGUAGCAAAGCGGG